UUAAGAGUUUGAUUCUGGCUCAGAACGAACGCUGGCGGCAUGCUUAACACAUGCAAGUUGAACGGAUAGAGAUAUCAGUGGCGAACGGGUGAGUAACACGUGGGAAUUUGGCUUAUAGUUUUGGAUAGCUAUUGGAAACGAUAGGUAAUACAAGAUGAGUUGGAGACAAGAAAGGAUUAGUCUGCUAUAAGAUGAGCCCGCGGAUGAUUAGCUAGUUGGAGUGGUAAGAGCACCCCAAGGCGAAGAUCAAUAGCUGUUCUGAGAGGAAGAUCAGCCACAUUGGGACUGAGACACGGCCCAAACUCCUACGGGAGGCAGCAGUGGGGAAUAUUGGACAAUGGGGGGAACCCUGAUCCAGCAAUGCCGCGUGAAUGAAGAAGGCCUUAGGGUUGUAAAGUUCUUUUACUGAAGAAGAUGAUGACGGUAAUCAGGGAAUAAGUCCCGGCAAACUUCGUGCCAGCAGCCGCGGUAAUACGAAGGGGACUAGCGUUGUUCGGAAUCACUGGGCGUAAAGAGCGAGUAGGUGGUAAUAUAAGUCAGAUGUGAAAUCCUUAAUCUUAAGUUAAGAAUGGCAUUUGAGACUGUAUUACUAGAGGACAGGAGGGGAUAGUGGAAUUCCAAGUGUAGAGGUGAAAUUCGUAGAUAUUUGGAGGAACACCGGAAGCGAAGGCGUCUAUCUGGCCUGAACCUGACACUGAGAAGCGAGAGCAUGGGUAGCAAACAGGAUUAGAUACCCUGGUAGUCCAUGCUGUAAACGAUGAUUGCUAGAUGUUAGUAUAGAGAGUUAUAUUAGUAUCUGAGCUAACGCAUUAAGCAAUCCGCCUGAGUAGUACGGUCGCAAGAUUAAAACUCAAAGAAAUUGACGGGGACCCGCACAAGUGGUGGAGCAUGUGGUUUAAUUCGAUGAUACGCGAAGAACCUUACCAAGGCUUGACAUAUUACCAGAGAUUAUAAGAGAUUAUGAUUGUCAUUAAGUUGGGGUAAUACAGGUGCUGCAUGGCUGUCGUCAGCUCGUGUCGUGAGAUGUUGGGUUAAGUCCCGCAACGAGCGCAACCCUUACGUUUAGUUGCUAACAGGUAGUGCUGAGCACUCUAGAGGAACUGCUGGUGUUAAACCAGAGGAAGGUAGGGAUGACGUCAAGUCCUCAUGGCCCAUAUGUCUUGGGCUACACACGUGCUACAAUGGUAGUGACAGAGAGUUGCGAGUUUGAGAAGAUGAGCUAAUCUAAAAAAGCUACCACAGUUCGGAUUGUACUCUGAAACUCGAGUACAUGAAGUUGGAAUCGCUAGUAAUCGCAAAUCAGCAUGUUGCGGUGAAUACGUUCCGGGUCUUGUACACACCGCCCGUCACACCAUGGGAGCUGAUUUUACCUUAAGGUGGUGAACCAACCGCAAGGAGGAAGCCAACCAAGGUAGGAUUAGUGACUGGGGUGAAGUCGUAACAAGGUAGCCGUAGGGGAACCUGCGGCUGGAUCACCUCCUU
rnacentral:rRNA from 1 species